rnacentral:rRNA from 1 species
UGGGGAAUUUUGGACAAUGGGCGCAAGCCUGAUCCAGCCAUGCCGCGUGCGGGAAGAAGGCCUUCGGGUUGUAAACCGCUUUUGUCAGGGAAGAAAUCUUCUGAGUUAAUACCUCGGGAGGAUGACGGUACCUGAAGAAUAAGCACCGGCUAACUACGUGCCAGCAGCCGUGGUAAUACGUAGGGUGCAAGCGUUAAUCGGAAUUACUGGGCGUAAAGCGUGCGCAGGCGGUUUUGUAAGACAGAGGUGAAAUCCCCGGGCUCAACCUGGGAACUGCCUUUGUGACUGCAAGGCUUGAGUGCGGCAGAGGGGGGAUGGAAUUCCGCGUGUAGCAGUGAAAUGCGUAGAUAUGCGGAGGAACACCGAUGGCGAAGGCAAUCCCCUGGGCCUGCACUGACGCUCAUGCACGAAAGCGUGGGGAGCAAACAGGAUUAGAUGCCCUGGUAGUCCACGCCCUAAACGAUGUCAACUGGUUGUUGGGAAGGUUCCUUCUCAGUAACGCAGCUAACGCGUGAAGUUGACCGCCUGGGGAGUACGGCCGCAA